GCUAAUUGCUACGAUAUCAUUAUAAUGCCCGACCUUAGUACCGAUCGCAGUGUCAAAUUCAUCGUAAAAAGGUGACAAAUCGGUAACAUCAGGUUAUUUUUU
rnacentral:sRNA from 1 species